GAAUAAGAAUGCGGGUGCUGGAUGAAGUCCGGCUGAGAUGGAGACCUUGUGUGUCCGGACCGUUAAUCUGAUCCAGGUAAUGCUGGCGUAGAGAAUCCCAUUCGAAUUGUU
rnacentral:ncRNA from 2 species